AUGUUCUGUUUUCAUGGGAGCCGAAGAAAGGCCUCCUGAUGGAGCUGGUCUAACCUUUGCCAUGGGCGCUUCUUUGCUUACGGAGUUAGGACUGGAGGCAGGAAUUUUAGCAUUGGAGAGACACUGUGACAUUUUCCAUUUUAUUUAUGGAGAGCCCAUAAAACCUCACGACACCAUGUACGAAAUCCCCAAGCUCCGAGCCAGGUGUGGAGCAACUGGUCACCGAGCAGGCUUCCACCCAGUCCUAGGUUUGGCUCAUUCGUGUCUAUUUUCUGGUCACUGGGAUGCUUCACUCUUUGCUCGCUGUGUAAAUGAGCAUCUGACUGUGGGAAUAUUUCACACUGAAGUCCAGGCCAAGAAUGGAAAAAUCUUCAAAUCUGUUCAGCUAAGCAGCCUUAUGAGGUACUCACACAGUCCAGGUGUGAGCACAGCCCAAUAUUUUUAUGGUGUUAAGAGUAUAUGUUCUCAAAAAAGGAAGAUGUUGUGUAAGGUUCUCAUCCUGUUGGUGCACUGGAUACGUUUCAGCUAUUGCUGUUUUCCUUUGGAUAGCAUUUCCCUUGGCUGAGUCUCCAGUUUAGCUGUCCUCGGGCAAUAAGUCAUAGUGAUGCAACUGAUUUGGGGGCGACUUUUGGACACGAGUGGUUUGGGUCAAACUGUACGAUAUUGAUACUGAUAGUAUAUGUGCAAAGCACUGUCUGGGAAUAAAACGUUUCUUAGUAUAUCCAAAGUCAAACAUAGACUUGUGCCACUGAUACCACAUAGCAUGGCUUUGUUAAACUAGGCAUGACAUCAGGUCUUCACCAAAUUUGGGGGAAAUUUUGGACUUUUAAGAUAUUUUUCAGCUUAAAAUGCUGAGAAAAUGUCAGGAGUUGAGUUCAGAGAUGAGAAAGACCAAAAGAGGCAUUAGCCUCAUGUAAGUGAAAUCUGCUUGCUCUUAGUGGAGCUGCCAUUGCCUUGCACAGCUUUUCCCUUCCCUUGGUGAUGGUUCAGCAUUGCAUUCAGAAUAGCUCAAGGCAGUUAUAACCUAAGAUGCCUGACAAUUAUGCCCAUCUUCUCCCAUCCUGUCCAGAAUCAAAUAGAUGAAAGAAAUCCAUUUGAAAAUGAAGCUUCAAAUCCAAACUUCCAUCACUGUUAAAAAGGGUUAGAGAUGGGAUGUGAUUCUGAGCAAUUGGAUGGGGUAAAAUUGUGGUUGACCAGAAAAUUUAGUUGCAACUCAAAUAAAACUUUUUAAAGACUUUUUUA